rnacentral:rRNA from 1 species
AACGAACGCUGGCGGCAUGCCUAACACAUGCAAGUCGAACGAGACCUUCGGGUCUAGUGGCGCACGGGUGCGUAACGCGUGGGAACCUGCCCUUAGGUUCGGAAUAACUCCCCGAAAGGGGUGCUAAUACCGGAUAAUGUCUUCGGACCAAAGAUUUAUCGCCUUUGGAUGGGCCCGCGUUGGAUUAGCUAGUUGGUAGGGUAAAAGCCUACCAAGGCGACGAUCCAUAGCUGGUCUGAGAGGAUGAUCAGCCACACUGGGACUGAGACACGGCCCAGACUCCUACGGGAGGCAGCAGUGGGGAAUAUUGGACAAUGGGCGAAAGCCUGAUCCAGCAAUGCCGCGUGAGUGAUGAAGGCCUUAGGGUUGUAAAGCUCUUUUACCCGGGAUGAUAAUGACAGUACCGGGAGAAUAAGCACCGGCAAACUCCGG